rnacentral:rRNA from 1 species
UACGUAGGGUGCAAGCGUUAAUCGGAAUUACUGGGCGUAAAGCGUGCGCAGGCGGUUAUGCAAGACAGAGGUGAAAUCCCCGGGCUCAACCUGGGAACUGCCUUUGUGACUGCAUAGCUAGAGUACGGUAGAGGGGGAUGGAAUUCCGCGUGUAGCAGUGAAAUGCGUAGAUAUGCGGAGGAACACCGAUGGCGAAGGCAGCCCCCUGGGUCAAGACUGACGCUCAUGCACGAAAGCGUGGGGAGCAAACAGG